rnacentral:rRNA from 1 species
GGGUUGUGAGGUUAAGCGACUAAGCGUACACGGUGGAUGCCCUGGCAGUCAGAGGCGAUGAAGGACGUGCUAAUCUGCGAAAAGCGCCGGCGAGGUGAUAUGAACCUUUGACCCGGCGAUGUCCGAAUGGGGAAACCCAGUGCAAUUCGUUGCACUAUCGUUAACUGAAUACAUAGGUUAACGAGGCGAACCGGGGGAACUGAAACAUCUAAGUACCCCGAGGAAAAGAAAUCAACCGAGAUUCCCCCAGUAGCGGCGAGCGAACGGGGAGCAGCCCAGAGUCUGAAUCAGCUUGUGUGUUAGUGGAAGCGUCUGGAAAGUCGCACGGUACAGGGUGAUAGUCCCGUACACGAAAAUGCACAGGUUGUGAACUCGAAGAGUAGGGCGGGACACGUGGUAUCCUGUCUGAAUAUGGGGGGACCAUCCUCCAAGGCUAAAUACUCCUGACUGACCGAUAGUGAACCAGUACCGUGAGGGAAAGGCGAAAAGAACCCCGGCGAGGGGAGUGAAAAAGAACCUGAAACCGUGUACGUACAAGCAGUGGGAGCACCUUCGUGGUGUGACUGCGUACCUUUUGUAUAAUGGGUCAGCGACUUAUAUUCUGUAGCAAGGUUAACCGUAUAGGGGAGCCGAAGGGAAACCGAGUCUUAACUGGGCGUUAAGUUGCAGGGUAUAGACCCGAAACCCGGUGAUCUAGCCAUGGGCAGGUUGAAGGUUGGGUAACACUAACUGGAGGACCGAACCGACUAAUGUUGAAAAAUUAGCGGAUGACUUGUGGCUGGGGGUGAAAGGCCAAUCAAACCGGGAGAUAGCUGGUUCUCCCCGAAAGCUAUUUAGGUAGCGCCUCGUGAACUCAUCUUCGGGGGUAGAGCACUGUUUCGGCUAGGGGGCCAUCCCGGCUUACCAACCCGAUGCAAACUACGAAUACCGAAGAAUGUUAUCACGGGAGACACACGGCGGGUGCUAACGUCCGUCGUGAAGAGGGAAACAACCCAGACCGCCAGCUAAGGUCCCAAAGUCAUGGUUAAGUGGGAAACGAUGUGGGAAGGCACAGACAGCCAGGAUGUUGGCUUAGAAGCAGCCAUCAUUUAAAGAAAGCGUAAUAGCUCACUGGUCGAGUCGGCCUGCGCGGAAGAUGUAACGGGGCUAAACCAUGCACCGAAGCUGCGGCAGCGACACUAUGUGUUGUUGGGUAGGGGAGCGUUCUGUAAGCCGUUGAAGGUGUGCUGUGAGGCAUGCUGGAGGUAUCAGAAGUGCGAAUGCUGACAUAAGUAACGAUAAAGCGGGUGAAAAGCCCGCUCGCCGGAAGACCAAGGGUUCCUGUCCAACGUUAAUCGGGGCAGGGUGAGUCGACCCCUAAGGCGAGGCCGAAAGGCGUAGUCGAUGGGAAACAGGUUAAUAUUCCUGUACUUGGUGUUACUGCGAAGGGGGGACGGAGAAGGCUAUGUUAGCCGGGCGACGGUUGUCCCGGUUUAAGCAUGUAGGCGGAGGUUCCAGGUAAAUCCGGUACCUUAUUAACGCUGAGGUGUGAUGACGAGGCACUACGGUGCUGAAGUAACAAAUGCCCUGCUUCCAGGAAAAGCCUCUAAGCAUCAGGUAACAUCAAAUCGUACCCCAAACCGACACAGGUGGUCAGGUAGAGAAUACCAAGGCGCUUGAGAGAACUCGGGUGAAGGAACUAGGCAAAAUGGUGCCGUAACUUCGGGAGAAGGCACGCUGAUAUGUAGGUGAAGCCCCUGCGGGUGGAGCUGAAAUCAGUCGAAGAUACCAGCUGGCUGCAACUGUUUAUUAAAAACACAGCACUGUGCAAACACGAAAGUGGACGUAUACGGUGUGACGCCUGCCCGGUGCCGGAAGGUUAAUUGAUGGGGUUAGCGGUAACGCGAAGCUCUUGAUCGAAGCCCCGGUAAACGGCGGCCGUAACUAUAACGGUCCUAAGGUAGCGAAAUUCCUUGUCGGGUAAGUUCCGACCUGCACGAAUGGCGUAAUGAUGGCCAGGCUGUCUCCACCCGAGACUCAGUGAAAUUGAACUCGCUGUGAAGAUGCAGUGUACCCGCGGCAAGACGGAAAGACCCCGUGAACCUUUACUAUAGCUUGACACUGAACACUGGUCCUUGAUGUGUAGGAUAGGUGGGAGGCUUUGAAGCGUGGACGCCAGUCUGCGUGGAGCCGUCCUUGAAAUACCACCCUUUAAUGGCUGGUGUUCUAACGUAGACCCGUAAUCCGGGUUGCGGACAGUGUCUGGUGGGUAGUUUGACUGGGGCGGUCUCCUCCCAAAGAGUAACGGAGGAGCACGAAGGUUAGCUAAUCCUGGUCGGACAUCAGGAGGUUAGUGCAAUGGCAUAAGCUAGCUUGACUGCGAGAGUGACGGCUCGAGCAGGUGCGAAAGCAGGUCAUAGUGAUCCGGUGGUUCUGAAUGGAAGGGCCAUCGCUCAACGGAUAAAAGGUACUCCGGGGAUAACAGGCUGAUACCGCCCAAGAGUUCAUAUCGACGGCGGUGUUUGGCACCUCGAUGUCGGCUCAUCACAUCCUGGGGCUGAAGUAGGUCCCAAGGGUAUGGCUGUUCGCCAUUUAAAGUGGUACGCGAGCUGGGUUUAGAACGUCGUGAGACAGUUCGGUCCCUAUCUGCCGUGGGCGCUGGAGAAUUGAGGGGGGCUGCUCCUAGUACGAGAGGACCGGAGUGGACGCAUCACUGGUGUUCGGGUUGUCAUGCCAAUGGCACUGCCCGGUAGCUAAAUGCGGAAAAGAUAAGUGCUGAAAGCAUCUAAGCACGAAACUUGCCCCGAGAUGAGUUCUCCCUGAGACUUUAAGUCUCCUGAAGGAACGUUGAAGACGACGACGUUGAUAGGUCGGGUGUGUAAGCGCAGCGAUGCGUUGAGCUAACCGAUACUAAUGAACCGUGAGGCUUAACCUUACAACGCCGAAGCUGUU